CACGUAUGUGGCAAAAUACGGGGAUGACUUGUGGCUAGGGGUGAAAGGCCAACCAAGAUCGGAUAUAGCUGGUUUUCCGCGAAAUCUAUUUCAGUAGAGCGUAUGAUGUCGAUGGCCCGAGGUAGAGCACUCAAUGGGCUAGGGUGGCCCCCAUUUCCCUUUACCAACCCCAGGGAAACUCCGAAUACAGGCCGUCAUCCUUAGUACAGACAGACUGAUUGGGUGCUAAGAUCCAAAGUCGAGAGGGAAACAGCCCAGAUCGUACGCUAAGGUCCCUAAGCAAUCACUUAGUGGAAAAGGAAGUGAUCGAGCG
rnacentral:ncRNA from 1 species